AGACCCGAAACCCGGUGAUCUAGCCAUGGGCAGGUUGAAGGUUGGGUAACACUAACUGGAGGACCGAACCGACUAAUGUUGAAAAAUUAGCGGAUGACCUGUGGCUGGGGGUGAAAGGCCAAUCAAACCGGGAGAUAGCUGGUUCUCCCCGAAAGCUAUUUAGGUAGCGCCUCGUGAAUUCAUCUCCGGGGGUAGAGCACUGUUUCGGCUAGGGGGCCAUCCCGGCUUACCAACCCGAUGCAAACUGCGAAUACCGGAGAAUGUUAUCACGGGAGACACACGGCGGGUGCUAACGUCCGUCGUGAAGAGGGAAACAACCCAGACCGCCAGCUAAGGUCCCAAAGUCAUGGUUAAGUGGGAAACGAUGUGGGAAGGCCCAGACAGCCAGGAUGUUGGCUUAGAAGCAGCCAUCAUUUAAAGAAAGCGUAAUAGCUCACUGGUCGAGUCGGCCUGCGCGGAAGAUGUAACGGGGCUAAACCAUGCACCGAAGCUGCGGCAGCGAACGUAUCACCCA
rnacentral:rRNA from 2 species